GGCUGUGUGCACCAUGGCCUGGACUCCUCUCCUCCUUGUGUUCCUCUCUCACUGCACAGGUUCCCUCUCCCAGCCUGUGCUGACUCAGCCGCCCUCUGUCUCUGCGUCUCCUGGAGCCACAGCCAGACUCACCUGCACCCUCAGCAGUGGCUUCAGUGUUGGUGGCUACUACAUAAAAUGGUUCCAGCAGAAGCCAGGCAGCCCUCCCCGGUAUCUGCUGGAGUAUAAAUCAGACUCAGAGAAGCACCAGGCCUCUGGGGUCCCCAGCCGCUUCUCUGGAUCCAAAGACACCUCCGCCAAUGCAGGGCUCCUGACCAUCUCUGACCUGCAGCCUGAGGACGAGGCCGACUAUUACUGUAACAUAUGGUACAGUAACACUCCUCACAGUGACUCACACAGAUGGGGAAGUGGGACAAAAACCUUGUACUGCCCAGGGUGA